GCCACCUUUAUCACAGAGAGCCUGCUGUUGCACUGGAGGUCUGUAGCCUUUAUCACACAGGGCAUCCCUGUCACACCCAUCAGCUGGAACAGUCAGACCAACUUUAAAAACUGAACAUUUUACAUAUCAUCUUAAUUGAAAUUACCAGGACAGUGUCGUCCACUUACAGGAAUUUUCUGACAACUUCAAAGGAAGGGAAAGAAUGCCAAGAAUAGAGAAACGCAUAUAUAACGAUACUGGUUCAUACAGUGUAUCCACGAUUGAAAUGCAGUUUGACGAACAAUUAAGUGAGAUGAAAUAUAAAGCCACUGACAGAAGCGCCGAUAAAAAAUAUGUAGUUAUCUUCUGCAGUCAGGUCGAAGCAGAAGAGAAGGCUAAAGAAAAUACGGAAUGCAUGUUCAUAAAGGUUCUGGAUGGGACUCACGAGGGACAGUAUGGGUAUGCUGAACCUCCUCCCAAGACGUCUUGUCCAUAUAUGUGAUGCAGACAGAUCGCUUAUGCACUCUGUAAGUACUGAAUGAAUAUUGUGAGAAGGAGGAUGUUUCUGUUCUAGUGGAUCUAACAACUCCAAAGUUGGAUCAUGCUAAAAUGUCUUUUAACAAAUCAUUGUGUGGAGAACAUGCAUACUCAUUCACAUUUCCUCCCAUUUACAGUCACAUAGAAGAACUGGAUUAGAUAGGAAAUUACUUUACAGCUAAAAUACAAGUUUAUAUAAUUCAUUCUUUAUCCUCACAAUUCUUUAUGUCUUUUUUCAGGAAGAAGAAGAAGGGAGUGACCUAUGAAAAUCAUCCUAAUUUCAUCCAGUCAGUCUAUCAGUCUAUCAAUUAAAGUUGAGUAGUUCCCUUUCACAGCCCCAAAUGCAGAAUAAGAUACACUUUUUUUUUUAACCACUCAUGUUAUGUAAUAUUUACAGUAUUGUACAAAAAAUGUUUAGGUUCUCUUAUAGUGAUGUAUUUGUAUGUUUUAUUAACAAAUCCUUGCUGGAUGUACCAUUCCCAUUCCUGAUCCUGUUUAAGAAAAUCAUUUUUGUGAAAUGAUGGACUGGAUUCUAAAUGAUAAUCUUACUAAUAAACUAUGAUGUCAGUGAAAAU
rnacentral:lncRNA from 1 species